CCUACGGGAUGCACCAUUGGGGAGUAUUGCACAAUGGGCGCAAGCCUGAUGCAGCCAUGCCGCGUGUAUGAAGAAGGCCUUCGGGUUGUAAAGUACUUUCAGCGGGGAGGAAGGUGUUGUGGUUAAUAACCACAGCAAUUGACGUUACCCGCAGAAGAAGCACCGGCUAACUCCGUGCCAGCAGCCGCGGUAAUACGGAGGGUGCAAGCGUUAAUCGGAAUUACUGGGCGUAAAGCGCACGCAGGCGGUCUGUCAAGUCGGAUGUGAAAUCCCCGGGCUCAACCUGGGAACUGCAUUCGAAACUGGCAGGCUAGAGUCUUGUAGAGGGGGGUAGAAUUCCAGGUGUAGCGGUGAAAUGCGUAGAGAUCUGGAGGAAUACCGGUGGCGAAGGCGGCCCCUGGACAAAGACUGACGCUCAGGUGCAAAAGCGUGGGGAGCAAACAGGAUUAGAUACCCGGGUAGUC
rnacentral:rRNA from 1 species